GUAGUCUGCAACCCGACUACAUGAAGCAGGAAUCGCUAGUAAUCGCGGAUCAGAAUGCCGCGGUGAAUACGUUCCCGGGUCUUGUACACACCGCCCGUCACACCAUGGGAGUCGGAAAUGCCCGAAGUCUGUGACCCAACCGUAAGGAGGGAGCAGCCGAAGGCAGGUCGGAUGACUGGGGUGAAGUCGUAACAAGGUACC
rnacentral:rRNA from 1 species